GGGGAAUUUUGGUCAAUGGACGCAAGUCUGAACCAGUCACGUCUCGUGAAGGAAGACUGCCCUACGGGUUGUAAACGUCUUUUAUACGGGAAUAAAGUGCCCCACGCGUGGGGUUUUGCAAGUACCGUACGAAUAAGGAUCGGCUAACUCCGUGCCAGCAGCCGCGGUAAUACGGAGGAUCCGAGCGUUAUCCGGAUUUAUUGGGUUUAAAGGGUGCUCAGGCGGGGGAUUAAGUCGGCGGUGAAAUUUUGCAGCUCAACUGUAAAAGUGCCGUUGGAACUGGUUUCCUGGGCUGCGGAUGAGGUAGGCGGAAUUUGUGGUGUAGCGGUGAAAUGCAUAGAUAUCACGAGGAACUCCGAUUCCGCAGGCAGCUUACCAAGCCGUAACUGACGCUCAAGCACGAAGGCGUGGGGAUCAAACA
rnacentral:rRNA from 1 species